AACGAACGUUAGCGGCGCGCCUAACACAUGCAAGUCGCACGAGAAAGGGCUUCGGCCCCGGUAAAGUGGCGCACGGGUGAGUAACACGUGGGUAAUCUGCCCUCGAGCAGGGGAUAACAUUCCGAAAGGAGUGCUAAUACCGUAUAAGACCACGACCUCGAAAGAGGAUGCGGUCAAAGCUGGCCUCUAUUCAUAAGCUAGCACUUGAGGAUGAGCCCGCGGUGCAUCAGCUAGUUGGUGAGGUAAUGGCUCACCAAGGCUAAGACGCAUAGCUGGUCUGAGAGGAUGAUCAGCCACACUGGAACUGAGACACGGUCCAGACUCCUACGGGAGCAGCAGUGGGGAAUCUUGCGCAAUGGGGGAAACCCUGACGCAGCGACGCCGCGUGAGUGAUGAAGG
rnacentral:rRNA from 1 species